AUUGAACGCUGGCGGCAGGCUUAACACAUGCAAGUCGAGCGGGGGAGGUUGCUUCGGUAACUGACCUAGCGGCGGACGGGUGAGUAAUACUUAGGAAUCUGCCUAUUAAUGGGGGACAACAUCUCGAAAGGGAUGCUAAUACCGCAUACGCCCUACGGGGGAAAGCAGGGGAUCACUUGUGACCUUGCGUUAAUAGAUGAGCCUAAGUCGGAUUAGCUAGUUGGUGGGGUAAAGGCCUACCAAGGCGACGAUCUGUAGCGGGUCUGAGAGGAUGAUCCGCCACACUGGGACUGAGACACGGCCCAGAGUCCUACGGGAGGCAGCAGUGGGGAAUAUUGGACAAUGGGGGGAACCCUGAUCCAGCCAUGCCGCGUGUGUGAAGAAGGCCUUAUGGUUGUAAAGCACUUUAAGCGAGGAGGAGGCUCUUUUGGUUAAUACCCAAGAUGAGUGGACGUUACUCGCAGAAUAAGCACCGGCUAACUCUGUGCCAGCCGCCGCCGUAA
rnacentral:rRNA from 1 species